GACGAACCGUCCAAACGUUAUUCGGAAUCACUGGGCUUAAAGGGUGCGUAGGCGGCCCGGGAAGUUGGGUGUGAAAUCCCUCGGCUCAACCGAGGAACUGCGCCCAAAACUCCCGGGCUAGAGGGAGACAGAGGUGAGCGGAACUUAGGGUGGAGCGGUGAAAUGCGUUGAUAUCCUAAGGAACACCUGUGGCGAAAGCGGCUCACUGGGUCUUUUCUGACGCUGAGGCACGAAAGCUAGGGGAG
rnacentral:rRNA from 1 species